rnacentral:rRNA from 1 species
UACGUAGGGGGCAAGCGUUGUCCGGAAUUAUUGGGCGUAAAGAGCUCGUAGGCGGCUCGUCGCGUCGGCUGUGAAAACCCGGGGCUCAACCCCGGGCCUGCAGUCGAUACGGGCGGGCUAGAGUCCGGUAGGGGAGACUGGAAUUCCUGGUGUAGCGGUGAAAUGCGCAGAUAUCAGGAGGAACACCGGUGGCGAAGGCGGGUCUCUGGGCCGUAACUGACGCUGAGGAGCGAAAGCGUGGGGAGCGAACAGG